rnacentral:rRNA from 1 species
GAUGAACGCUGGCGGCGUGCCUAAUACAUGCAAGUCGAGCGAACGGACGAGAAGCUUGCUUCUCUGAUGUUAGCGGCGGACGUGUGAGUAACACGUGGAUAACCUACCUAUAAGACUGGGAUAACUUCGGGAAACCGUAGCUAAUACCGGAUAAUAUUUUGAACCGCAUGGUUCAAAAGUGAAAGACGGUCUUGCUGUCACUUAUAGAUGGAUCCGCGCUGCAUUAGCUAGUUGGUAAGGUAACGGCUUACCAAGGCAACGAUGCAUAGCCGACCUGAGAGGGUGAUCGGCCACACUGGAACUGAGACACGGUCCAGACUCCUACGGGAGGCAGCAGUAGGGAAUCUUCCGCAAUGGGCGAAAGCCUGACGGAGCAACGCCGCGUGAGUGAUGAAGGUCUUCGGAUCGUAAAACUCUGUUAUUAGGGAAGAACAUAUGUGUAAGUAACUGUGCACAUCUUGACGGUACCUAAUCAGAAAGCCACGGCUAACUACGUG